UGUAAUCCUUAUGAAAGGAUUAUACUUGUAGUCCCUAUGAAACACAUAUGUAUACCAAGUCUAUUUCUAAAGCCUACACAUUAAUUUCCAUUUUUCUAAGAAAUUAAGUCAAAGAUCAAAAUCUAAAGAUUCAAAUCUAAUUUAAAGAUUCAAAUAGAGGCCAGGCGUGAGCCACUGAGCCCAGCCAAGUGGGGCAUGAGUUUUCUCAUAAAGCCAGCAGGGCAGAGUGAUUCCUAGUAUAGCAGGGCAUGUGUUACACUCAUGUCACUUUUAGCAAAUCCACGUUGCCUUUUCAGCAAAAUUCAUUACAGAGUUAAGAAAAACAUGCCCUGGUAAUUUUCUGUUAGAAGGAGCAAAGAUUUUGAGUCCACCACAGUGCACAUCAUGUCAGCAUCAUUGCUUUUUGUGUCUUUCUAGUUGGUGGACCAACUGGGUGAUCCCUGCCAUCUCUGCAGUGGCCGUCGCCUUGAUGUAUCGCCUAUACAUGGCAGAGGACUGAACACCUCCUCAGAAGUCAGCGCAGGAAGAGCCUGCUUUGGACACGGGAGAAAAGAAGCCAUUGCUAACUACUUCAACUGACAGAAACC
rnacentral:lncRNA from 10 species